rnacentral:lncRNA from 1 species
AUAAAACUAGAUAAAAACCUUUGCUUCAAACAUGUGACAGACAUAUAUUUGGGGCUGGUUUAAACUUCUGAAGGGCGGUAUUUACUGACUUUGGGCUGGAUAUUUUUGCUGGACCUGGCAACCCUGAGGAGGGCACCAAGAGCACGCGCAAUCUGAAAGCCCAAGGCUCAAUCCCAUUUCUAAUUUCUGUUUCUUGCCCCUUGUUUUCGAGGGUAACCCUUUCCCUUGGAGCUGUGUUACAAUGAAAGGGGUGAAAUCUUCCCCCUAAGAAUUGGGACAACCCUUCAGGAAACCGGUGUGAAGGAGUGUAAGGACUGUAAGGCGGGCUCUGCCAACAAGAGACAGACGUACAUGUCUGAGUGCCUUCAGUCAAGCAUACUGACAUUCAGUUCUCACCGUGACCAUUCUCUACAGGAUACAUUUAAGCAAAACACUGAGCCAGAAAUACACUGAUGACACUGAAGACUCGUGUCACUGUGCAUAUGUAUUUUAAGGGGUAUAACACAAUAUUAAGAGUAUCAGAAAAAUGUUUUGCCAGAUCAGCGUAACUGAGUGUACUUAAAGCCUAUUGGCUUAUCAAAUAGAACAAUGAAUUUUAACAAUGCACUUAUACCAGUAACAUUUUACCUCACUGAUUUUUACUUACGAUUUGGUGUUAGCGUUAGUAAAAUUGUCAGAGUUUGUU